rnacentral:rRNA from 1 species
AUACGUAGGGUGCGAGCGUUGUCCGGAAUUACUGGGCGUAAAGAGCUCGUAGGUGGUUUGUCGCGUCGUCUGUGAAAUUCCGGGGCUUAACUCCGGGCGUGCAGGCGAUACGGGCAUAACUUGAGUACUGUAGGGGAGACUGGAAUUCCUGGUGUAGCGGUGGAAUGCGCAGAUAUCAGGAGGAACACCGGUGGCGAAAGCGGGUCUCUGGGCAGUAACUGACGCUGAGGAGCGAAAGCAUGGGUAGCGAACAGGAUUAGAUACCCUGGUAGUCCAUGCCGUAAACGGUGGGCGCUAGGUGUAGGGGUCUUCCACGACUUCUGUGCCGUAGCUAACGCAUUAAGCGCCCCGCCUGGGGUGUACGGCCGCAAGGCUAAAACUCAAAUGAAUUGACGGGG